rnacentral:rRNA from 1 species
UACGGAGGAUCCGAGCGUUAUCCGGAUUUAUUGGGUUUAAAGGGAGCGUAGGCGGGUUGUUAAGUCAGUUGUGAAAGUUUGCGGCUCAACCGUAAAAUUGCAGUUGAUACUGGCAUCCUUGAGUACAGUAGAGGUAGGCGGAAUUCGUGGUGUAGCGGUGAAAUGCUUAGAUAUCACGAAGAACUCAGAUUGCGAAGGCAGCCUGCUGGACUGUAACUGACGCUGAUGCUCGAAAGUGUGGGUAUCAAACAGG